rnacentral:rRNA from 1 species
UUAAAUUGAAGAGUUUGAUCAUGGCUCAGAUUGAACGCUGGCGGCAGGCCUAACACAUGCAAGUCGAACGGUAACAGGAAGCAGCUUGCUGCUUCGCUGACGAGUGGCGGACGGGUGAGUAAUGUCUGGGAAACUGCCUGAUGGAGGGGGAUAACUACUGGAAACGGUGGCUAAUACCGCAUAACGUCGCAAGACCAAAGAGGGGGACCUUCGGGCCUCUUGCCAUCAGAUGUGCCCAGAUGGGAUUAGCUAGUUGGUGAGGUAACGGCUCACCAAGGCGACGAUCCCUAGCUGGUCUGAGAGGAUGACCAGCCACACUGGAACUGAGACACGGUCCAGACUCCUACGGGAGGCAGCAGUGGGGAAUAUUGCACAAUGGGCGCAAGCCUGAUGCAGCCAUGCCGCGUGUAUGAAGAAGGCCUUCGGGUUGUAAAGUACUUUCAGCGGGGAGGAAGGUGUUGUGGUUAAUAACCGCAGCAAUUGACGUUACCCGCAGAAGAAGCACCGGCUAACUCCGUGCCAGCAGCCGCGGUAAUACGGAGGGUGCAAGCGUUAAUCGGAAUUACUGGGCGUAAAGCGCACGCAGGCGGUCUGUCAAGUCGGAUGUGAAAUCCCCGGGCUCAACCUGGGAACUGCAUUCGAAACUGGCAGGCUUGAGUCUUGUAGAGGGGGGUAGAAUUCCAGGUGUAGCGGUGAAAUGCGUAGAGAUCUGGAGGAAUACCGGUGGCGAAGGCGGCCCCCUGGACAAAGACUGACGCUCAGGUGCGAAAGCGUGGGGAGCAAACAGGAUUAGAUACCCUGGUAGUCCACGCCGUAAACGAUGUCUACUUGGAGGUUGUGCCCUUGAGGCGUGGCUUCCGGAGCUAACGCGUUAAGUAGACCGCCUGGGGAGUACGGCCGCAAGGUUAAAACUCAAAUGAAUUGACGGGGGCCCGCACAAGCGGUGGAGCAUGUGGUUUAAUUCGAUGCAACGCGAAGAACCUUACCUGGUCUUGACAUCCACAGAACUUUCCAGAGAUGGAUUGGUGCCUUCGGGAACUGUGAGACAGGUGCUGCAUGGCUGUCGUCAGCUCGUGUUGUGAAAUGUUGGGUUAAGUCCCGCAACGAGCGCAACCCUUAUCCUUUGUUGCCAGCGGUUAGGCCGGGAACUCAAAGGAGACUGCCAGUGAUAAACUGGAGGAAGGUGGGGAUGACGUCAAGUCAUCAUGGCCCUUACGACCAGGGCUACACACGUGCUACAAUGGCGCAUACAAAGAGAAGCGACCUCGCGAGAGCAAGCGGACCUCAUAAAGUGCGUCGUAGUCCGGAUUGGAGUCUGCAACUCGACUCCAUGAAGUCGGAAUCGCUAGUAAUCGUGGAUCAGAAUGACACGGUGAAUACGUUCCCGGGCCUUGUACACACCGCCCGUCACACCAUGGGAGUGGGUUGCAAAAGAAGUAGGUAGCUUAACCUUCGGGAGGGCGCUUACCACUUUGUGAUUCAUGACUGGGGUGAAGUCGUAACAAGGUAACCGUAGGGGAACCUGCGGUUGGAUCACCUCCUUA